GGAGGGGAGGUAAGAACUGGAGCUGGAUCAUGAAGGUAGGCAGAAAGAAGUGAGCAAAAGCUUGCAAGGAAGGAAGAAUCACCUGAGCAGAGACCCAUGGGGAUGCAGAGGUGUCCAGAGGAGAGUGAGGAAGAAGGGGCUGAGUAGGAUGAGACCCAGCAAGUGGGCUGGGUGGGGCAGCAAUGUUCCAGCUCCAUCAACUGGCCCGUCUAAUAGUUAAGAAUACAGCCUCCUCCUACCAUAGGUUUAGCAGCCAGCUGUGGACUUUGAAAGAGGGAGCAGAGGUAGCCCCAGGACAGUGAGUGGAUUUGUGUCUCUAUCCAGUGUGGAUAAAUCUUGGAAGGAGCUCAGUAAUGUCCUCUCAGGGAUCUUCUGCGCCUCUCUCAACUUCAUCGACUCCACCAACACGGUCACUCCCACUGCCUCCUUCAAACCCCUGGGUCUGGCCAAUGACACUGACCACUACUUUCUGCGCUAUGCUGUGCUGCCGCGGGAGGUGGUCUGCACUGAAAACCUCACCCCCUGGAAGAAGCUCUUGCCCUGUAGUUCCAAGGCAGGCCUCUCUGUGCUGCUGAAGGCAGAUCGCUUGUUCCACACCAGCUACCACUCCCAGGCAGUGCAUAUCCGCCCUGUUUGCAGAAAUGCACGCUGUACUAGCAUCUCCUGGGAGCUGAGGCAGACCCUGUCAGUUGUAUUUGAUGCCUUCAUCACGGGGCAGGGGAAGAAAGACUGGUCCCUCUUCCGGAUGUUCUCCCGAACCCUCACGGAGCCCUGCCCCCUGGCCUCAGAGAGCCGAGUCUAUGUGGAUAUCACCAACUACAACCAGGACAACGAGACAUUAGAGGUGCACCCAUCCCCGACCACUACAUAUCAGGACGUCAUCCUAGGCACUCGGAAGACCUAUGCCAUCUAUGACUUGCUUGACAGCGCCAUGAUCAACAACUCUCGAAACCUCAACAUCCAGCUCAAGUGGAAGAGACCCCCAGAGAAUGAGGCCCCCCCAGUACCCUUCCUGCAUGCCCAGCGGUACGUGAGCGGCUAUGGGCUGCAGAAGGGGGAGCUGAGCACACUGCUGUACAACACCCACCCAUACCGGGCCUUCCCGGUGCUGCUGCUGGACACUGUACCCUGGUAUCUGCGGCUGUAUGUGCACACCCUCACCAUCACCUCCAAGGGCAAGGAGAACAAACCAAGUUACAUCCACUACCAGCCUGCCCAGGACCGGCUGCAACCCCACCUCCUGGAGAUGCUGAUUCAGCUGCCGGCCAACUCAGUCACCAAGGUUUCCAUCCAGUUUGAGCGGGCGCUGCUGAAGUGGACCGAGUACACGCCAGAUCCUAACCAUGGCUUCUAUGUCAGCCCAUCUGUCCUCAGCGCCCUUGUGCCCAGCAUGGUAGCAGCCAAGCCAGUGGACUGGGAAGAGAGUCCCCUCUUCAACAGCCUGUUCCCAGUCUCUGAUGGCUCUAACUACUUCGUGCGGCUCUACACAGAGCCGCUGCUGGUGAACCUGCCGACACCGGACUUCAGCAUGCCCUACAACGUGAUCUGCCUCACGUGCACGGUGGUGGCCGUGUGCUACGGCUCCUUCUACAAUCUCCUCACCCGAACCUUCCACAUCGAGGAGCCCCGCACAGGUGGCCUGGCCAAGCGGCUGGCCAACCUUAUCCGGCGCGCCCGAGGUGUCCCCCUACUCUGAUUAUUGCCCUUUCCAGCAGCUGUAGCUGCUGUUCUCUCUGGGGAGGAGAGCACAAGGGCUCUUUCUGCCACUUGCUCUCCUCAGAAUUGGCUUUUGGAACCAAAGUGCCCUGGACCAGGUCAGGGCCUACAGCUGUGCAUCCAGUACAGGAGCCAUGAGCCAAAUAUGGCAUUUGAAUUUGAAUUAACUUAAAAAUUCAUUUCCUCACCUGUAGUGGCCACCUCUAUAUUGAGGUGCUCAAUAAGCAAAAGUGGUCAGUGGCUGCUGUAUUGGAAAGAACAGAAAAAGACUUCCAUCACUGCAGAAAGGUCGGUUGGCAGCACCGGCCAAGGUGAUGGGGUGUGCUGCAGAGUGUGUGUCACCGUGUGGUGGAUGGAGUUUACUGUUUGUCG
rnacentral:sRNA from 1 species